GGAAUACCUCGCGCUUGGUUACAUCGAUGUCAGCAACAAGAUCUGCUGCAUAUAUCUGAAGCCGCUCAUAUGGAUAUAUUGGGAUUCCUUCAUCAUCUUCAGUUUCACCCUCUUUUACAUCUUCCUUUAUGAUUUUGGAAAGAUCCUUCUCACAGUUGGUGGAGGAGUUGAAAGGUUCCUUGCAUUUGGGUUCUCAAAAUUAGCGGCCAGCGCAUUGAAAGCUGGAGACCUGCCUCUCGCUCGAACUCGGUCAGCACUGACAGACACGCUUCGGGAACGUUGAGAUUUAUCUGAAAAUCAAGCAAAAAAGUAUAAUGCAACAAGAAGAACAAGGAGGAGAGCAGCAACAACCAAAUGCAUCCCAAGAGUUAAAGAACUGUGAUUGACACAUUUAAUCAGUGCACUCACAAGUAGGGUGCAUUAUUCAAUGCAAAUAUACUAAAGGCAUUGCUGUAAUUUUGC